CAUCCAUGCUAUCUCCUAAAGCAGUCAUUCUGAAACCCAAUCUGGGGACAGUGCAGACUAAAUAAAAUUUCAUUUUGAUUUGGCCUCCCGCUGCGAACGGGACUGCUUUGUCUCAGCCGACAGAACCAGCAAGCCAGAAAGGUUCCGAAUGUGUGGACAGACGUUCCUUUGGAACCAGCAAGAGAACUCCACAAAGCCCCUGGUUUGUCUCCACGUUGUUCUUAUUCCAAGUGUGCUGAGAACAAAGGCCAGAAAUGGGUAACCUAAUUUUGCAAAACAAAAAGGAGAUCUCAACAGCUUCAUGACAGUCUUAAUCUUUGGCAUAAUUGUCUAAAUUGAUGGAACAUCUUUUAUUAACUGAUGGAGGUGCAUCCUGCCCUUUCAGAAGUCAAAUAAACAGAUACAAUGGAGACUGCUUUGGCAACAUCCAUCGAGACCCUGCUAGCCUGCAGUUCCCCUGGGCCUUAUGUGAAAACAAGCCUCUUCAGGAUACUCAUGUGCUCAUGGGACAUCAAAGACACUUUAUUUUCUUAC